rnacentral:lncRNA from 1 species
AACCUGCAGCUUCAGAGGCAAAUGGCUGAGAAGGAGCAGGCUAGGGCAGAUCAGAAACAAGAGGUUACUCUAAAGUAAAUCUUCUCCCACCCUGUUAUGUAUGGGGUUUGAUUUUGAUUUUUAAAGCUAGCCCCUCAAAUAUAUGCAUGGAAAUAUGGUAGUCUAUCACAUGCAGGUCCACAGAGUCACAUCACAGGAUGGCAAAUACUAUAGAAAAACUCAAAUAAACAUAGCAGAAAAUGAGAGGAGAGGAUAUUUCACGCACUCUGACCAAAAUCCCUGAAGUUGCUGCAAAAUUCUUACAUGUAUUUCCAGUAAAAUACCAGAGUACCAGUAACAUACAAUGGUGUUAACAUCGAAAAGAGAUACCUCCAAAAAUGAAAAGCAGGAUUCAAAUUAAGGGGAACUCCCAGCAAAUGAAGGAGCCAGUGUAUUUGUUUCUAAUCAAGUUAAAGAUUAAUGGGAAAGUCCAUAAACAGAGAACAUGAGGACUCAUGCAUGGUUUGUACAGAAUUAGCUGAUUAUCUGUUGCAUAAAGCUCUCAAGUAAAUGAACUACACUAAGGAGCUCUUGGAUGCUUUUAACCAAUAGCCAAUCAGCUACAGAUCGCUAUUUCCCACUUCUACUCCUAAUGGAAGUAUAUUCAACUUAUUUUUAAACAAAGUAUUUUCUGUACCCAAAUGGUAAACAAAUCCCUGAUUAAAUGGAGAGAUAGCAAACCCAGACAAUUUGCAUCUUUGUAACUGCACCUUGAGUCACAUAAUUAUACACUGUAAAACCACUGUGAAGGGCUUAGGAUAAUAUUCCCCAUCUCGACAAAAGACAGAGUUAGGAACUGCCGCAAAAUGAGGGAACUAAUUUAUGUAAUAUCACCACCUGAGGUGAGUUGCAAUGCCUGAAGGUCCUAAGUCUCCAAAGCAGGAGUGAAUUUAAAAUACUAUGGAAAAGGCUGCAGAGUUGUGUUUACUGAUCUAAGUGUGUUUACAGUCCAUGCAUGCCCAUUCUCACUUUAUGACAAUGGAAACUGAGGAGCUGACAAGGCCAGAAGCGCAAUGACGCCCCAUAAGUCCUCGCCGCUUGCCCUUCCCAGUGAGCCAUAACAAACACGCAGCUGACAACCGCAAGAUUACUUUAUCUGACAUCAGCACUUGAAUCCUAACUCACCAGCUCUGUGGCACAGAUCCACACUAUUAGAGCUGCAGAGCAAUCCCGUUUUGACGUCUGUGAAAGCCUCACCUCUGGGCUUCCUCCCAGCAGCGCUGGGGCAAGGGAACAGUUGCAAA